rnacentral:rRNA from 1 species
GACGAACGCUGGCGGCGUGCCUAACACAUGCAAGUCGAACGGAGUGAAGCGCUGAAUUGAUGCUAGCUUGCUAGCGGAUUUUCUUGUUUCACUUAGUGGCGGACGGGUGAGUAACGCGUGAGGAACCUGCCCUUCAGAGGGGGACAACAGUUGGAAACGACUGCUAAUACCGCAUGAUGUACAUUUGGGACAUCCCGAGUGUACCAAAGGAGCAAUCCGCUGAAGGAUGGCCUCGCGUCCGAUUAGCUAGUUGGUGAGGUAACGGCCCACCAAGGCGACGAUCAGUAGCCGGACUGAGAGGUUGAACGGCCACAUUGGGACUGAGAUACGGCCCAGACUCCUACGGGAGGCAGCAUGGGGAAUAUUGGGCAAUGGGGGAAACCCUGACCCAGCAACGCCGCGUGAAGG